rnacentral:rRNA from 1 species
AACGAACGCUGGCGGCAGGCUUAACACAUGCAAGUCGAGCGCCCCGCAGGGGGAGCGGCAGACGGGUGAGUAACGCGUGGGAACGUACCUUUUGGUUCGGAACAACUCCGGGAAACUGGAGCUAAUACCGGAUAAGCCCUAACGGGGAAAGAUUUAUCGCCGAAAGAUCGGCCCGCGUCUGAUUAGCUAGUUGGUGAGGUAACGGCUCACCAAGGCGACGAUCAGUAGCUGGUCUGAGAGGAUGAUCAGCCACACUGGGACUGAGACACGGCCCAGACUCCUACGGGAGGCAGCAGUGGGGAAUAUUGGACAAUGGGCGCAAGCCUGAUCCAGCCAUGCCGCGUGAGUGAUGAAGGCCUUAGGGUUGUAAAGCUCUUUUGUCCGGGAAGAUAAUGACUUUACCGGAAGAAUAAGCCCCGGCUAACUUCGUG